GCUGGGCAUGGUGGCGCGUGCCUGUAGUCCCAGCUACUCGGGAGGCUGAGGCAGGAGAAUCACCUGAACCCGGGAGAUGGAGGUUGCGGUGAGCAGAGAUUGCACCACUGCACUCCAGCCUGGGUAACAGAGUGAGACUUUGUCUCAA
rnacentral:sRNA from 1 species